UUGGAGGGCAGUCUGGUGCCAGGAGCCGCGGUAAUUCCAGCUCCAAUAGCGUACAUUAAAGUUGUUGCAGUUAAAAAGCUCGUAGUUGAAUUUCGGGGUCAGUAGGCCGGUCGUGCCACUGGUAUGAACUGGUUUUACUGAUUCCUCCCUCUUGAAGAACUGUAAUGCCAUUAAUUUGGUGUUGCAGGGAAUCAGGACUGUUACUUUGAAAAAAUUAGAGUGUUUAAAGCAGGCUUUAGCUUGAAUACAUUAGCAUGGAAUAAUGAAAUAGGACGUUUGAUCCUAUUUUGUUGGUUUCUAGGAUUGACGUAAUGAUUAAUAGGGAUAGUUGGGGGCAUUAGUAUUCAAUUGUCAGAGGUGAAAUUCUUGGAUUUAUUGAAGACUAACUACUGCGAAAGCAUUUGCCAAGGAUGUUUUCAUUAAUCAAGAACGAAAGUUAGGGGAUCGAAGACGAUCAGAUACCGUCGUAGUCUUAACCAUAAACUAUGCCGACUAGGGAUCGGAUGAUGUUAAUUAUUUAAUGACUCAUUCGGCGCCUUACGGGAAAC
rnacentral:rRNA from 1 species